AUUGAACGCUGGCGGCAGGCUUAACACAUGUAAGUCGAGCGGAGAGAGGUAGCUUGCUACUGAUCUUAGCGGCGGACGGGUGAGUAAUGCUUAGGAAUCUGCCUAUUAGUGGGGGACAACAUUUCGAAAGGAAUGCUAAUACCGCAUACGUCCUACGGGAGAAAGCAGGGGAUCUUCGGACCUUGCGCUAAUAGAUGAGCCUAAGUCGGAUUAGCUAGUUGGUGGGGUAAAGGCCUACCAAGGCGACGAUCUGUAGCGGGUCUGAGAGGAUGUUCGGCCACACUGGGACUGAGACACGGCCCAGACUCCUACGGGAGGCAGCAGUGGAGAAUAUUGGACAAUGGGCGCAAGCCUGAUCCAGCCAUGCCGCGUGUGUGAAGAAGGCCUUAUGGUUGUAAAGCACUUUAAGCGAGGAGGAGGCUACUUUAGUUAAUACCUAGAGAUAGUGGACGUUACUCGCAGAAUAAGCACCGGCUAACUCUGUGCCAGCAGCCGCAGUAACAC
rnacentral:rRNA from 1 species